UGACAGCUCAUUAUUUCCUCAACAUGCAGAACAGGGUGCGCGACCACAAAAACACUGCACGAGUAGUACGAAUAUUCGUCGAUGGAAGCGAAGGAUAACGAUAGUAAUUAGGAGAAUCUGUUCGUCUUUGGUUGCCUUGAACCUUUUUCUACGUUCCUACAAUUUCGCCAGUGUCACGGUAUGUACCAUAACAAAAUACCAUCAAUUUAGCUUCGAUUGCCAAAAUUAGGGAGCUUCAAAAAAGCCCGAUAAUGCCUUGUUGUGCCUACUUAAUCGUUCAUUCUUUCGACUUUGACAUCUGGCUGAAUUCCUUCCGAGUCUUUGUUACCUUUAUCUGAUCGGAUGUAAUCAUCCCACUCAGCUUAAUCUAUUUGUCUCCCGCUGACAUGUAUCGCAUUCGUCCA
rnacentral:sRNA from 1 species